AGGACGAACGCUGGCGGCGUGCUUAACACAUGCAAGUCGAGCGGUAAGGCCCUUCGGGGUACACGAGCGGCGAACGGGUGAGUAACACGUGGGUGACCUGCCCUCCACUUCGGGAUAAGCCUGGGAAACUGGGUCUAAUACCGGAUAUGACCAAGGGAUGCAUGUUUCUUGGUGGUAAAGUUUUUCGGUGGGGGAUGGGCCCGCGGUCUAUCAGCUUGUUGGUGGGGUGAUGGCCUACCAAGGCGACGACGGAUA
rnacentral:rRNA from 1 species